rnacentral:lncRNA from 1 species
CAGCCACUCACUCCCAGAAGAUUUAGAGGCAUCUUAAGAACUUGAAAGGAAGUAUUGCUCUAAAGAGCUUUUAUUUCAUCCGUAAAUCGUUUACAUGGAAGAUCCACAUUAAUCUGAGCCCAAGACGCCGGAUACAGCGGCGGCUGUUAACCGGCUUGCUGGAGGUUUCAAGAGUUGGGGCGGUGCCUUCGAAAAGAGUGUUGCAGAAGCUAGUGGCUCCGCGGACUGGGGUUGGACUCACAGUUGCGGACCCAAAACCCUUCCUUGGUCCAGCUGACCGGGAUGCUAGCGAAGGUGGGACCCUCAUUGACGCCCGACCUGGACACAGCUUGCGAGCAAAGAUCCCAGGCACAAUGUUCUGCACAACUGUUGCUUAGCACUGCCCCAAAGGCGGGGCUGCCAGUGAAAAAUGAAGAUUCCAUCCGACAGGACCUGAGAAAAAGUGUCAGGAGCAGCAGCCAUGUUCACCCGGUUCACCACAUUUCCUCCCCAAGAACGGACCCUUUGCUGAGCUACCACCAAUUGACACCGUUUUGCCUUUUAACGGGUUCUAUGAUAUUUUUAAUUGUUUUCUCCGGAGCCUUGAGAUAGCACCAUCAACAAUGAACUGACGAACUUCCAAGAGUGCGGGGGGGGGGGGGGGGGAGGUUAAAGAAAAGCAGGGACUGUCCUGGGCUCUAGCGGAAGGGGAGUCAGGGCUCUAAGAUGGGCAUUCUCCGAAGUGCGAGGCGUUGCUUGCUCCACCUUCUCUGGGGUGGCCUGCAAGUGGGGAGGAAAAACCCAGGAAAUGUGUGCAUCAAGUUUGCUUACAAAGAGAGAAGCUGUAUUCUUCUUGACCCUUUAUCAGAUUGUUCCUGGUGGAAGGUAGACUGAGUUGAGUUGGCCACUCAUUCCUUGUUAGCUUGGUCAGUUUGCAGGAUCUCCCUUUUAAAUCUAUCUUACCUCUAAAUAUUCUGAAAGUCUGCUUUGCCCUAAUAAACGCGAGAAAGAGGAAAGAAACAAACAACCUUUGAUGGGUCUUUCAAAUAUUCACAGCGGCAAGCGCUCCUAUGACUGAUGAAGAACUAUGCAGAGAAUUCUCAGUUAUAAACGUAGCUAUGUCAUGGAGCUUUGUCUGUCUGUUUAUAAAUAUGCGUUUUAGGAGCCCCAAAUUCCCUGAAAAACAUUCGGUGUCUUUUAAAUCAAAGACAUAUGAUACAAGCUCUCCAGCACUUGUAUACCAAUAGACUAGGUCCGAUUUAGGGGGAAACUUCUGUGUAGUCCGGGUCAACUGCAGCUUCGGAAGCCUUUUCCACCCCAUUACCCAAACCCACUUUUGACCGAAGUGGUUUCAGGGGUGGGGUCCAAGGUGUCACCCACCCACUUCAGAUCCCGGAAACCUCCUGAAAAUUCAAAUCUAUUACACGGAACCCCCUUGCGUUUUGUGACAUGUAACCACAUGAGCCCAUAACAGAGGCAACAGUUAAUGGCAAACUCCCAUAACGAAUGCAUAAUCUGCAGGUUUUGGCAAGAAGCUGGGU